rnacentral:rRNA from 1 species
UACGAAGGGGGCUAGCGUUGUUCGGAUUUACUGGGCGUAAAGCGCACGUAGGCGGAUCGUUAAGUCGGGGGUGAAAUCCUGGAGCUCAACUCCAGAACUGCCUUCGAUACUGGCGAUCUUGAGUCCGGAAGAGGUGAGUGGAAUUCCUAGUGUAGAGGUGGAAUUCGUAGAUAUUAGGAAGAACACCAGUGGCGAAGGCGGCUCACUGGUCCGGUACUGACGCUGAGGCACGAAAGCGUGGGGAGCAAACAGG